rnacentral:rRNA from 1 species
CCUACGAGUGGCAGCAGUGAGGAAUAUUGGUCAAUGGGCGGAAGCCUGAACCAGCCAAGUAGCGUGCGGGAUGAAGGCCCUACGGGUCGUAAACCGCUUUUGCACGGGGAUAACACCCUCCACUUGUGGAGGUCUGCCGGUACCGUGCGAAUAAGGGCCGGCUAAUUACGUGACAGCCGCAGCGGUAAUACGGCAGGCACGAGCGUUCUCCGGAUUCAUUGGCCUUAAAGGGAGCGUAGACGGGCGUGCAAGUCAGCUGUAAAAUCGCGGGGCUAAACCGCGCCCCGAAGUUGAAACUGGACGCCUUGAGUUCACAACAAGCAGGCGGAAUUCGUGGUGUAGCGGUGAAAUGCAUAGAUAUCACGAGGAACCCCGAUUGCGAAGGCAGCCUGCCGGGGUGCGACUGACGCUGAGGCUCGAAGGUGCGGGUAUCAAACAGGAUUAGAUACCCUGGUAGUC